GCAUUGUGGUGUAGUGGUAACGUGUAGGGCUUAUAUCCAAAAAGUUACUGGUUCAAUUCCCUGCUGGGGCA